rnacentral:lncRNA from 1 species
GCAGGGCUGUGGGGCGGGGAUGUGGGGUGGAUCUAUGGGGCAGGGGUGUGGGGCGGAUCUAUGGGGCAGGGCUGUGGGGUGGAUCUCUGGGGCGGAUCUAUGGGGCAGGGCUGUGGGGUGGAUCUAUGGGGCAGAUCUAUGGGGCAGGGCCGUGGGUCCCACCCCCCCUUUCCCCCCCCAGUUCCGGUCUCUUUGUGGUCGGCCCCGAAUCCGCUGGCGCUGACCCCGGCCCCGCCUGCUACCGCAAGGGUGAGCGACGCCGUGGGGCGCAGUGGGGCUGCCCCAUAGCCUGCCCCAUAACCCGCCCCAUAGCCUGCCCCAUAACCCGCCCCAUAGCUCACCCCAUCACUCACCCCAUAGGUCACCCCAUAGCCUGCCCCAUAACCCGCCCCAUAACUCACCCCAUAACUCACCCUAUAGCUCACCCCAUAGCUCACCCUAUAGCCUGCCCCAUAGCUCACCCCAUAGCUCACCCCAUAGCUCACCCCAUCACUCACCCCAUAGGUCACCCCAUAGCCUGCCCUAUAGCUCACCCCAUAACUCACCCCAUAGCUCACCCUAUAGCCAGCCCCCUAGCUCACCCCAUAAUUCACCCCAUAGCUCACCCCAUAGCCUGCCCCAUAACCCACCCCAUAGCCCGCCCCAUAGCUCACUCCAUAGCUCACACCAUAGCCCGCCCCAUAGCCCGCCCCAUAACUCACCCUAUAGCCUGCCCCAUCGCUCACACUAUAGCUCACCCCAUAGCUCACCCUAUAGCAUGCCCCAUAGCCCACCCCAUAGCUCACCCCAUAGCCUGCCCCAUAACCCGCCCCAAAGCUCACCCCAUCACUCACCCCAUAGCUCACCCCAUAGCCUGCCCCAUAACUCACCCUGUAGCCCACCUCAUAGCAUGCCCCAUAGCCUGCCCCACAGCCCGCCCCAUAGCUCACCCCAUAACUUACCCCACAGCCCGCCCCAUAGCUCACCCCAUAGCCCACCCCAUAGCCCACCCCAGAGCCUGCCCCAUAGCUCACCCCAUAGCUCACCCUAUAGCCUGCCCCAUAGCUCACCCCAUAGCCUGCCCCAUAACCCGCCCCAUAGCUUGACUCAUAGCUCACCCCAUAGCUCACCCCAUAGUCUUCCCCAUAGAUCAACCAUAGCCUGCCCCAUAGCCCCCCCCAUAGUUCACCCCAUCACUCACCCCAUAGGUCACCCCAUAGCUCACCCCAUAGCUCACCCCAUAGCCUGCCCCAUAACCCGCCCCAUAGCUUGACCCAUAGCUCACCCCAUAGCCCGCCUCAUAGCUCACUCUAUAGCCCACCCCAUGGCUCACCCCAUAGCCCACCCCAUAGCCCGCCCCAUAACUCACCGUAUAGCCUGCCCCAUAACUCACCCUAUAGCCAGCCUCAUAGCUCACCCCAUAACUCACCCCAUAGCUCAGCCUAUAACCCACC